AAAAUUAUAAUAAACAUUAGAAAAAGUACACAAACACUGGUAUAAACGUUAGUAGAUACAAUGCAAUGUUAAUUCUUUCAUUUCCGCUAUAAACUGAAAACGUGUGUGAGAUGAUAGAUCAGAAUUUCAGCUUUCAUUUCCUGAAAUUUACAUCUAGAUGUGUUAAACAACUUGGAACAUAGCACCACCCAUUUUUUAAAUGUUCAAAAAUAUUGGAACAUGUGGCUGAGAGGUGUUUCUUGUUGCCCAAGUGUACCCUGUUAGAUUGAUUGUUUAAACAAUUAAUAGCUCUAAAUGUCUACUCUUGGUUUGAGCCCUGGAUUUCACCUGUGAAGACGUUAUUUGUUAUAAAGAUAAACCAACAUAAAGAGCAGAGACCUUUCUAUGGGAGAAAAGCAAGCACUUCUGAAGCUAAGAAAAGAGGGAACAUCAAUAAGCGCCAUUGCACAAGCAUAGGGCACUAUACAACAAUUUGGAAUGUCCUGAAAAGGAAAGAAACUGCUGGUGUACUAACAACCAGACAUCAAAAAGGUCGGCCAAGGAAAACAACAGCAGUUGAUGAAAGAAACCUUAUGAGAGAUAUCAAACAGUGAUCUCCCAAACAACCUGCACAAGGCAGAGAUGCAGUAUCACAACCAUUGUUUGAAGAAGAGCAGAAAUAUAGAGGUCAUACAACAAGAUGCAAACCACGCAUCAGCAGUAAGAAUACCAGAAUGUAAUUCCCAUAGAAAUGAGUCACAACAGUUCUGGAACCAAGAUUAACCUCUAACAAAGUGUUGGAAAGGCCAAAGUGUGGAGAAAGAAAGGAUCUGCUCAUGAUCCAAAACAUACAAGCUCAUCGGUCAAGCAUGGUGGAGGUAGUGUCAUGGCUUGGGCUUGCAUGGCUGUUUCUGGAAUAGGCUCAUAAUUUUUUAUUGAAAAUGUCAUUCAUAAUGGUAGCAGCAGAAUGAAUUCAGGAGUCUACAGAAACAUUCUGUCUGCCAAUUUACAGAGAAAUGCAUCCAGUCUUAUUGGGAGGUUAUCAUACAUCAAGGCAAUGACCCCAAACACACUGCCAACAAACUUUAUCAGGGGGGAAAAGUGAAAGGUUUUAGACUGGCCAUCAUCAGACCUUAAAUACUCAAUUGAGCAUGCAUUUCACCUCCUGAAGAGGAAACUGAAGGGAGAACAUCCCCCAUCCCCCAAACAAACAACUAGAAGAAGCUGUGGUAAAAGCCUGGAAAAACAUCACAAAAGAAGAAUGCAACAAUAUAGUGAUGUCAGUGGAUCACUGCCUUCAUCCAGUUUAAGCAAGCAUGGGAUGUGCAACCAAAUAUUAAGUGUUAUUUACUUUAAUUUACUUUAAGACUAUCUGUUCAUAUACUUUUGCUCAACUAAAAAUUGGGUGGUCUUACACCAAAGGUACCAUGUUCUAAGUUGUUAAACACAUCUAGAUGUAUAUAUCAGGAAAUUAAAUCUGAAAUUCUGAUCUAUCGUCUCAUAUUCAUAUUUUGAUCUCAAACAAAAUGUCUUCAGUGUAUAGCAAAAACCAAAGGUUUGGCUUUGCUAUACCAAAAAAGUUUCUCAGGUCUAAAACAGUUGUAAAUUUGCCAGGAAUUGAAAGGUGAAAGAAAGUUAAAAGAUCACAGUAGGCUUGCUGCGAUAGUCGGUGUUACCGGUGUUACACGGUGUUCGGGUCACACACCACUUACAUUACUUGCCCACUGCAGCACCGCCCCACCAUUCUUUUGCCUUUUUAUACUAAUAAAAACCAUUUCGUUCAGUUACAGAGCGGACGCUACGAUUAAAAACUGAACGUGUCUGCUCAAUUCAGCAUGAACUGAAUGAGUCAGAGUCGCAGCACAGAUCAGAAGGAGUCAGAUUUCAUUUAGCACGAGUGAGAGUGAGGCGAGCUGACUGACAAGAUGAUGGUGGAAGAUUUGGUUCUACGUUUAAUAUAAGCGAGUUUGUCGUUGUACUGUUUUGUAGUUGUUGUGUUUUUCAUUAAGAAUAAUAAUGAACCCACCAUUCAAUGAAUUGCUGCUCCCGAAUUGCCACUAAUUGGAAGGCGAAAGUGAAAUGCGCACUGCCGCAUGGGGGAAAUUAAAUGGCAUCAACAUGUUUGGUGACAAAAGGGGCCAGCAUAUUUUGAAACCUGAUAGCCCACUGUAAACUAUAGUGGUAGAACAGUGAUGCUUUGGGCUUGUUUUGUGGCAGGUGGUUCAGGGGCUGUUAUUCAGGGCAUCAUGAAUUCUGUUAGGUAUUAUUUCAGCUGAAAACUUGCUUACCUCUGCCAGGAGAUAGAGUCUUGGCCAUAGAGUUUUCAACAAGACGAUGAGCCAAACAUACUCCUAAUCUAUACAGAAUGGUUAAAGAAACACAAAAUCAUUUCAGUCUCCUGACUGGAAACCUACGGAAAACCUGUGGUCUGAUUUAAAGAACUCUACAUGCAUAUGUAUAAACAAGUUCAAAAUGUCCUGCAUGGAGGAGUCAGCCAAGAUCUCUCUACAAGUGUUUCCAACAUUAUGAGACAUUACAGGGGGAAAAAGUUGAAAUAAAACUAUAUAGUGUCUCUGUAAAAUAGCAUGUGUUGCAUGUGUUAUUUUUUUAUUUUCAAUUUGCACGAGUCAGAACGUGUCUAUUAAAAACCAUUAUGGUGGUUUCGGUUUCAAGCAGAAAAAAUAGUAUGCACAGUUUUAACUAGUAAUGCUGACGUUGCCUUUCCCCACUGUUUUUGCCAUGAGAAAUGCUCACUGCAAGUGUAUUUGUUGGCACAGGAGAACAUUACAUUUACUUUUGGAAUACAUUGUUUUUAACUGAAAGUUUCUAGACUGCAGAUUUAUAAGGAUUUAUAUCUGAUGGGAAAAUUGGGGCAGGGCCUAUUAGCAGAUGGGCCUGACAAAGAUCUGGAGCUGUUAAGGGGCAUGUGUGUGUGUGUGUGUGUGUGUGUGUGUGUGUGUGUGUGUGUGUGUGUGUGUGUGUGUAUGUGUGUGUGAGUGUGUCUAGUGGUGUUACGCCACCCUACAGGAGGCCUAGAGGGCCAGACUGAAAUUCAGACUGCAGCUGUCUGCUCUCAACCACCUGCCAAGCCCUGCAGACUCGACACACUGUCCAAAUGACAUCAUUCUAACAUUAAAACUCAACAAAAUGCUGACCAUAAUGACGAUUACAGCAGAGAUAUAAACGGUGUGAGUGAGAAUAAUGAGACAUGGGCUCAUGGCACUGUGAACUGAAACUUGUUCAUUUUUAUGGUGGGUGGAACAAUAUGAACCAAAAUACUUCAUGAACAAUUUUUGGCUGGUUUUAUUUUAUUUUAUUUUUUUAAAAUUUUUUUUUACAAUUUUUUUGCUGAAACACAUUCUUGUUACAGAUGUUAACUAUCAUGCUCCCAUGUUUACUCCUCAUCGUCUCCCACUCAGAACGUACAAUGAAUGUACUGUCGUUUUGCUUUGUUUUAUUUUAAUACUCACUUGCUUUUGCCGUUUCAGAUUUCACAUGUUUUGUGAGAUACAAGUAUCAGUGUUUGGACAGUCAAUUAUUCAUUGGUCAUCAGGCAAUUAGAGUACAAAUCACAGUCUGCAUAUCUGAUUCACUCAUAGUAGUAGUAAUAGUACUAGUAGUAGAUUUAAAAUAAAUAAGCUAGUGACAAAGAUGUGAUAGAGAAUGGUGUUGGCCUGUGAGACUGCAGUGAAGUCAAUCAAAAAUGAUCAGCCAUGGGAUACUGAGAAAACUGCAUCUCAGAGCACUUUUAACUUACUACACCAUUCUUGCUUACGUCUCCUUAUUAGUGUGCACUGAAUUACAAUGUGUUACUGAACACCAUGUCUUGAGUCAAGCUAAAUCAUUUCUUUAUUUGAAAUCGCCACUAAGCUCAUACUAAAGAUUUUCCCUGCUGUUUUAUAUGAGCUGUGAAAGCCGUCGGGCACUUUGGCACAGUUUGGGGAUGUCUGGAGCAGUAAGAAGCCGCAGAGGCUGUGUGGCUGGCUGAGACUGGGUGUAGUUUUAGUGAAGAAGUCACCGAGGUCUUUUGUGUGGAACAGUGGGGUACACUCACACCCCACAGUUUGUUUGUUUAAAAUUCAGUGGGACACACAUGCACACACACUCCACAGGGUGUGCACUGAGAUCUGCUCAACUCUUUCUUCUCGCCUCCAGUCUGCAGUCUCUCACUUCUCUCUCACUUUCUCAAGGCUUUCUCACUCGACUGCAUCCAUAGGAUGUUGUUAGAUGAUAAUCAAACCAUGCCAGAACAUACUUGGAACAAUUACUGAGAAAUACAGUGUUGUCCGUAGUCACAGACAUUCUGCUGUUUGGGACAAAGUAUUUUGGAAAGGCAGUAAACACACCCUUUAUAGAGUACACUUCCUAAGGGAUAGCAAUAUGGUUAUACUCCACUUCAAGGUAGAUGGAUAGUUGUGAAGCUCACUGUAUUUCUUUUCUCACUUCUUUUCACUGCUGUUACAAACAUUCAUCAGGAGUCACUUAGCAUUCGAAAUCCCCUACUUCCUGCUCAAGUUAAGAGCAUUAAAGGCGACACCUAAUGGCUGUUUAAGGAAAAAUCAAUCUCUAAAGUGUGUUUCAUUCCAGAUGGGUCAAGGUCAAGUUGACAAUUGAUCACGCACAGGUGAUUUUUCUGUUUCAAACUAAAUAGUUCGUCUCAGCUCACCAGAUAUGUGACGUUCUGCUUUUUCAGGUGUGUUACAAGAGACAAAUCAAUAUUCUGGACCUCCAGACACUUCAGACUGUAUAAAAGGUGGACAGUGUGCUGCCACUGCUCCCAACCAAUGUGCCAUUUUUAAGCCAAACGUUAUCUAAAUUGAAAAUUGCUAUCUUCUUCUCUUGUAUUUAUGAAAACGAGUCAGAGCAUGACCAGUACGGUCUUAGAACAAGUAAUGCAUGUGCACUUGAAAAUAUCUAGAAAUAGUAGAAAUAUCUCGCUUUCUCUUUCUUCACCAACAAGGUUUGUUUGUUAGGCAUUAAAUUUUCCUGUAUAAUGUUUGUUGCUUCUUUCCUGUGCAGUUUGAUUAUGUAGCGCACGCGCAGUACGGUUUUAGAUUAUGUAGCGCACGUGCCGUACGGGCUUAGAACAUGUAGCGCACGCGCAGUAUGGGCUUAGAUCAUGUAGCGCACGCGCAGUACGGUCUUAGAACAUGUAGCGCACGUGCAGUAUGGGUUUAGAUCAUGUAGCGCACGCGCAGUACGGUUUUAGAACAUGUAGAGCACGCACAGUACGGUCUUAGAACCGUGUUAGAACUGAGAACAGCACUUAGAACUUAGUGACAGGUACACAAUACUGUAAAAACAGCACCGUCUUUCAGAUGAGAUGUUAAACUGAGGUCCUGACUCUCUGUUGUCAUUAAAAAUCCCAGGACACUUAUCGUAAAAGAGUAGGAGUCUACCCCGGUGUCCUGGUGAAAUUCCCCCAUUGGCCCUUCUCUAUCAUGGCCCCCUAAUAAUCCCCAUCUCUGAAUUGGCUACACCACUCUCUCCUCUCCAUUACUAGCUGGUGUGUGGUGCGGGUUCUGGCGCACUAUGGCUGCCGUUGCAUCAUACAGGUGGAUGCUACACACUAGGGGGGGUUGAGGAGGACCCCCACACACACACACACACACACACUAUGUAAAGCGCUUCGAGUGUCUAAAAAACACUACAUAAAUCUAAGCAAUUAUUAUUAUUACUAUUAUAUUAUUAUUAUUUUGGGUUCAAGCCCCAGCACUGCCAGGCUCUAGGUUGCUGAUCGGAAGGUCAGGGGUUAAGACCCCAGCACUGCCAAGCUGCCACUGUUGGCCCCUUGAGCAAGGCAGUACGGUCUUAGAUCAUGUAAAGCAUGCCAAGCAUGGUCUUAGAACAUGUUAAACAUGAGCAGUACGGUCUUAGAUCAUGCAAAGCAUGUGCAGUAGGUCUUAGAUCAUGUACAGCAUGCCAAGCACGUCUUAGAACAUGUAAAGCAUGCGAAGCAUGGUCUUAGAUCAUGUAGAGCCUGUGCAGUAUGGUCUUAGAUCAUGUAAAGCAUGCACAGUAUGGUCUUAGAUCAUGUAAAGCAUACACAGUAUGGUCUUAGAUCAUGUAAAGCAUGCACGGUCUUAGAAAAUGUAGAACGCUUAAGGUUUCUUCAGGGGUGACACGGUGGUAUAAUGGGUAGCAUUGCCAUGUGAUAUCUCCUGGGUCAGUCCUGAGCUUGGGUUUCUGUCUGUUUGGGUAGUCAAUUCCACUAUUCUCUCUGCAGUGACACCUACACUCAACUUCUACACUCUAAGAUGUAGCAUCAGUAAAGAUUCUUCAGUUUGUAUAGAUCCCAGGGAUUUCCUUUUGAGAAAACCUUAAGUAGAACCUUUUUAGAACGCCAGAACUGUUGACCCUCCAAAGUAGUACUAUCAUUACUACUACUACUACUACUACUACUAC
ensembl:lncRNA